AGCUUAUUUGGCUAAUCUUUUUUCUUUCACGUAAUAUCUGUUACCAUCUUGUGGAACUUUGGGAGAUGCUGGUAUGGAUAUAUUCUCACCUAAUGAGCUGAAGGACGUUGACUGCUCCUAUUCUGAUGAAGCCUCUGAGACUGGAGUGGUGAUGUCAUGGAAAAGAAGAUGACAUUCACAUCCCAAGAAAGGGCUGAAAAAAAGAACAAGCAUACUGCCUUAUGUGAAAGUUCCUGAAAGCUUUUACACACUUAACUUCCAUCCCAUCAGCCAGAAAUUGGUGACUACACUUAACAGUAAGGGAGAUACAAAUAUGUAGUUCUUAUUCUAAUGAGCAGUGAGUAGUGAGUCACCUUAUGAUCAGGAAUUCUAUUCUUUCAUGAAAAAACAAAUGGAGAUUACAGAGAAGCAAUCCCAAUACUGAUUUUAAGGACCAACCUGAAGUCUGAGACUACUCCCUUGGGAGUAGCACAUUUUCCACAGUUAGAGGAAUUUUAGUUCCAGGAUAGGGCACUUAACAAAUUCAAGCAGAGCAGAAACCCUGGAUUAUAGAAGAGACUGGAGAUCAGUUUAUGUCAACUUUGAUCUCUUCACGUUACCCUUUCUGCAGGUCCUCAGGUUACAGACCUGUAACCUUGGGCAUAGAGCAUAAACAUCGUUAACACCUCAAAGUACAUAGGUAAUUUGGAAGAGAAAACAAACUCGUUUCUGAUACUGAAAGAAGGAAUAAGGAAGAUAUUUAUAAUACAGAAAUGAAAAGAAAUAAAAUUAGAGAAUUGGGAUAAAACGGCUCAAGGAUGAACAAAUGGGGGAAAAAUGGCUUAGCACAGCUAUCUAAGCAACAGAAAAAAAAAAAACAAAAACAACUUGUUUUUAAAGAUAAUUUACAAUGCAAAAGACUGAACCCAACUUUGAAGAAACAAAAACCAAGGAACAGAAAGCAAUUCCUCACAAGAGAUUUAUGCUACAAAAUAACGUAAGAAUAUAAUUAAAUAAAAUGAAAAAUCAAAGAGAAGAAGACAGAACAGCAGAAUGAGAUUAAAAGAGAGGUUGCAUGCUAAAGAAACAAACUUUCCCUGGAUGUGUUGCCAAGUCUUAAGCAAAGUAGAACGGUAUUUUCUGAUUAGACGCAGGCAGCUUACAACAGGGAAAUGUUGAUGAUGAAAAAGGACUUUGG